UACAGAGGGUGCGAGCGUUGUUCGGAAUUAUUGGGCGUAAAGGGCGCGUAGGCGGUGCGGCAAGUCACCUGUGAAACCUCUGGGCUUAACCCAGAGCCUGCAGGCGAAACUGCCGUGCUGGAGUGUGGGAGAGGUGCGUGGAAUUCCCGGUGUAGCGGUGAAAUGCGUAGAUAUUGGGAAGAACACCUGAGGCGAAGGCGGGUUGCUGGGCCGACACUGACGCUGAGUGAGCGAAAGCCAGGGGAGCAAACGGG
rnacentral:rRNA from 1 species